CCCCGCCGGCGGGCCACUGCGCUCGCCCCGCGUGGCGUGCCCCACCGCGCGUCGGGACCGGGGUCCGGGGCGGAGAGCCCCUCGUCCCGGGAAAUGGGGCGCGGCCGGAAAGGGGGCCGCCCCCUCGCCCGUCACGCAACGCACGUUCGUGGGGAACCUGGUGCUAAACCAUUCGUAGACGACCUGCUUCUGGGUCGGGGUUUCGUGCGUAGCAGAGCAGCUCCCUCGCUGCGAUCUAUUGAAAGUCAGCCCUCGACACAAGGGUUUGGUACGGAGCAGAGCAG